GGACAGCGGGUACGGCCCAAAUACACACACUCAUCUGCACCUGCUCCAUAUCUCUCUGUGGUUUCAUCGACCACGAAGUGAGCUCAGUUCCUCCGUCUGGCUCGCCCGUCGACGGCUCAGAUUAAACCAAUCGCUCUGUCUCCCUACAAAGUGAAUCACUGACCCCCUCUCUCUCUCUGAGCAAUGGCUUCGUCUCUGAGUACUACAGCUUCAGCUUCGGCUUCAGCUGUGAGCAAAGCCACAGCCACUUUGCCUCGUUUCAACAACAAUUACACUCUCUCUAAGCUUUCAUUUCCUCUUAAUCCUAAGCCCAACUUCUGGCCUUUAACCCAGGGCUUAAAAUGCAGUCAGAACCAUUCCACCGUGGUAAAAGCCCAAAUGAAUGAGGUUGGUGUUGAUGGCUCCUCAAAUGCUGCUGCUACUCCCCCAACCAAGUCGGAGGCAGUGGCACCAGAAACAAAGGCUGCCAAACCAUCAAAUGACCCUUCUUCUGGAGCUUUGGCAGCAGAGGAAUCAAUCUCUGAGUUCAUUGCUCAAGUUUCAAGUCUUGUUAAGCUUGUUGAUUCUAGAGAUAUAGUGGAGUUGCAGUUAAAACAGCUUGACUGUGAAGUUCUAAUCCGCAAAAAGGAGGCCUUACCUCAACCACCUCCUCCUGCUCCAGUUGCUUGGAUGAAUUCGCACGCUCAAUCAGGGGCUCCACCAGCCCAACCUGUGCCUGCACCUGUACCUGCACCUGUACCUGCACCUGCAUCUGUGGCUCCUACGCCAUCAACUUCUCCUUCUGCUGUCAAGUCAGCCAAGUCAUCACUUCCACCUCUUAAAUGCCCCAUGGCAGGGACAUUCUACCGAAGUCCAGCUCCUGGUGAACCAGUGUUUGUGAAGGUUGGAGACAAGGUACAGAAGGGGCAGGUCUUAUGCAUCAUUGAGGCCAUGAAAUUGAUGAAUGAGAUAGAAGAGAUGGCUAGGGCUUGGCACCUCCCUUGCAGGGGCCUGUUUCAGGAACUGCCUACCCAUCCACGGGGGGCAGAGACCGGCCGUAUCCACCUCUAGUAGAUGGGCUGAUCAAUCGGGAACCAUAGUCGACAUCCUUGCAGAAGAUGGCAAGCCUGUCAGUAUUGACAUGCCUCUGUUUGUAAUCGAACCUUAGGGCUUGGCCGUCAAGUAUGCAAAUAGAUGGAGUAAAUGGUGUGAUUAGAAAGAGGUGCAGUUGGUAACAUUGUGAGAUGCGGCAUUAUUUCAUUUUGGUAGAAUGUUUUGUUUGAGAUGAGAUGUGACUAGAGUUUGAGAGUGAUUUAAAUUGUUUUAAAUGAAUAUAUUUUAUUUUUUAUUAUUUCAAACUUUUUUCACUAGAGCAGAGAUUUUCCCUGUCCAGGCUUUGGACGAUGUUGUUUUAAUAAACACUAGUUGUUUUAAGUGCUGUGUUCAAGAAGCUUUUAUAGGUGCUGAA